AUGGAAUUUGUUAACAGCAGAUACAUAAUAGGAUUACGUUCAGAGGAGUAUUUGUUCCCAAUCCAAGAUAUGUACAGAUCGAGUUAUCUUGGGAAGCCACAUGAAGGUAAUUGUUGUUCUUCUAUCAGACUCGCUUUGCAUACAACUAGCUACUCCGCUGAAAAUUAUUCCCGAGUGGUCGCUGAGAAGUGGAUUUUGUAUUGUGAGUUGUUUGCAAUCAGCAUGUUUUGGCCAUAUAAGCAAAAAAUUCGUACCCUUGGACUGCUAUCAUCUGAAGCAGACUUCUGUACUGUCAACAUUUUGUUUCUGCCAAGACGAACAACUGACUUGACACCUUGGCCACCUCCUUAUUCGUCAAGUGUGGCUCUACAGUUUCCAAGCUCACGACCAAUUAGAGUGAUCACCGCUGUUACAGGAAAUAUAUGCCAUAUAUCUGCGGUUAUUGGAACAGAUGGAUCUGAACAUUUUCUACGUAACGUUGCUUGGUUACUGUGUGACUACAUUUUCUGUUCAAGCAUAGCUGCUGACCAAUUUUGCAAGGAUACUAAUGUCCAAGAAAAGGGUCGUUAUGCUUAA
rnacentral:rRNA from 1 species